rnacentral:misc_RNA from 1 species
GAUGAAGAACGCAGCGAAAUGCGAUAAGUAAUGUGAAUUGCAGAAUUCAGUGAAUCAUCGAAUCUUUGAACGCGCAUUGCGCCCUCUGGUAUUCCGGGGGGCAUGCCUGUUCGAGCGUCAUUAUAACCACUCAAGCUCUCGCUUGGUAUUGGGGUUCGCGGUUCCGCGGCCCCUAAAAUCAGUGGCGGUGCCUGUCGGCUCUACGCGUAGUAAUACUCCUCGCGAUUGAGUCCGGUAGGUCUACUUGCCAGCAACCCCCAAUUUUUACAGGUUGACCUCGGAUCAGGUAGGGAUACCCGCUGAACUUAAGCAUAUCAAUAAGCGGAGGA